rnacentral:ncRNA from 2 species
AUCAAAAAAGGUGAUGGUGUACCACCUAUUUAAACCGCCCUCAAGUAUAUUGUUUGAGGUAUGAUGACACCUACUUAUAA